rnacentral:rRNA from 1 species
AUGGUCAAUGAAGAUGUUCCUGGAGGGCCUUUAAUGAUCCAGCAGGCAUGUCUUGUUCCCGGAGAUGAGAUGUUAAUUAGUAGUAACCUUGUUGCUCCGGAAUCACAUAUGUUGCAACUACCUGGCAGUGUCAAUGGACUGAAAUCAACAAGUGCCACUAUUCAGGUAAUUAACCCAAUCAAGGAGAGAGUUGUGAAAUUGGUCAGACAACGGUUGUUGAUUCUUGAGCCGGGUGCUAGUAUAAUGUUACUAGAACUAUUUCCUCGACCUGAUGAUCGCUUGACACUGAGGAUACUUGCUGCUGCACCUAUGAACGCCAGUUCAGAUUGCUUGCUGGAAGACAUUAACUACAUACCUGAUAACUUGCCUGCUGCUCCUUGGUGCUGUUCUGAAUAUCUCCACUAUCGAGAUGCGGAAGUGUGGCUAGCCCAGCUCAAAAAUGAAUCGGAGAGGAGCCACGAUGAAUUGCUGGCAGCCGCGAAGGAGAUUAACUCAACAGCCUUGCUCACUAUCAGGAUCCUAUUUCAGUCUUUUACAGGUUAUGGGUUCUUGGCAUUGCUGUGGGAUCCUGGACAGCGAGAAAUUGAUUCAAGUGCAAUCAUAUGA